AUAUAUAGAAAGACACAAAAACUUAGCAAGCUUUGUUUGGCAUAUUUAUAAAUAUGCCAAACAAAGCUUGCUAAGUUUUUGUGUCUUUCUAUUAUG
rnacentral:miRNA from 1 species